GAUCCUGCUCAGAUUGAACGCUGGCGGCAGGCCUAACACAUGCAAGUCGAACGGUAACAGGAAACAGCUUGCUGUUUCGCUGACGAGUGGCGGACGGGUGAGUAAUGUCUGGGAAACUGCCUGAUGGAGGGGGAUAACUACUGGAAACGGUAGCUAAUACCGCAUAAUGUCGCAAGACCAAAGAGGGGGACCUUCGGGCCGUCUUGCCAUCGGAUGUGCCCACGAUGGGAGUUAGCUAGUAGGUGGGG
rnacentral:rRNA from 1 species